ensembl:Mt_tRNA
UUGAAAAAGUUAUAGGGGUUAUAGGAUUGGCUUGAAACCGGUUUUAGGGGGUUCGAUUCCCCCCUUUUUCGC